GUGCUCGCUUCACCAGCACAUAUACUAAAAAUUGGAACGAUAGAUUAGUGUGGCCCCUGCCCAAGGACGACAUGCAAAUUUGUGAAGCGUUUCAUGUUAAA
rnacentral:snRNA from 1 species